CAUUUAGAGCCACGACAUUAUUCUCGCUGGCACAAAUUCGAUGGACAGCUAAUGAGUUUGAGUCAUUUAUGAUAUGGUAUCUUACAAGUGGUCAUACAUAAACCCGAACUAACAACAAAAUUCACGGUGACAACUGAGCUUUGAUAUUCUGUAUCUACAAAUUGCCCUUCUUCAAGUGUGCUAUUGCAUUUUGUGUCGCAAACAUUACAAAUUAUUUGGGAGGAUUGGCAGGUUUAUAAUUUUGAUAAACCGUAUAGUAAGUCUGAGUCGUCGCAAGCAGCAGAAGCAACACAGCUGCAGCAGCCGACAUGAAGGACCAUGGAGUGUUGAAGUAUGUGUGCAUAAACCCAGCCCAUCGGACAUGCCAAUAAUUCUGAUAAAUCUCAUUCACUUCCUCAAAGACCUUGGACAAAUAGCACCUGUGGAUAUCAAACGCCACAUCUUUCCCGACAUUAUUGAAGAAACGGGCAACUUCCUUGUCUGUCCCAAAAUAAUUCUCGAUGAUCUUGUGGUCGCCCAGGAACCCAGCAUCAGCAGGCGUAUUGAUGAGACACCCCAUAAGAGUAGCAUAGGUUGUGAAGUACUUGGAGGAAUGGCAAUAGCACUGCUCAAAAGCAACAAAAUUGAGGAACAAAGAGCUCCAGAAAUCGUCAAUUGUCAAGACUGGAAUCUCGAGGACGCCAUCUCUGAAUUUGACGUCCAAGAUGCUGUGAGUCUUCCUUGGCUUGAACUUGACUCCAGCUUGAUCGAGCUUCUUCGCACUCUGAAUCAGGUGAAGGAAUCUGCUUCGCCCCCUUACUUCCUCCUUGCAAUAGGGGAUAUAGCUUAAGCGGAACAAAUCAAGCAAAUGCUUGCCUUCUUUAUUGUAGUACUUCUCCAACACAUUCGCCGGUCUCUGCACCAUGUAGUUGAAGAACCCCAAGGCAAGCUUGGCCAAGGAGGGGCCAUCAUUUCCGGAUCCAACAGACAGAUCAAAUAACUUCUGCAGCACAAAGUAAGGAAUUUGGUUCUCGAGCCGGAGGAGAUCCCUCAUUAAGGAAGGCAAAAUCCAAGCCAUAGUAAAUAAAGGGUCGUGUUGAUCAGCUGGGUUUAUCCUUGCGACUUUGCGGAACAGCUCGAUGAUGAAGCAGCCAUCGAGCACCAUCAUCUCGAUAAGGUCCGGGCUACUGAAUUUCAAGGUCUCUGAAUAGCUCUUCCGGAUCUCUUCCUCCAUCGGAGCUACUGCCUCAAAGAAGUCCUUGAGCACAACUGUCUUGCUCUCUGCCCGCAAUAGGAGAUCGCCUAGGAAGCGCCAUUUGUGCUCCUGGAUCAUCUGGAAGCGCUCACAAUGGUGGAAGGGACCGAUGGAGACGAUAUGAGGCCGGUAGGCCUUUUCAUUGAUCUCCGAUAGGCUCUGAGGGACUCGGAAGAUGCAGCAAGAAUCUGUUCCUGCCCCCGUGUUCAAGAGCUUUGGCAAUUCCUGCAUUUUCCCUUCCACUUUCGAUAAAAAACUCGUGUCGAUAUGGACGACAUGGUGAACGGAGCUUCCGUUCUCUGCGGUGUGGUCGCCACAGGCGUUUGAUUCUCCGGACAUCUGUGCUUAAUUGCCAAAAACUAAAUGCUGCUCUGGGAUAGAUUCAGAGCAGAAAAGUUCUAUCUUUCAGAGGAGGAAGCUAUGGCUUCUCUUUUGUUCCCACCCAUGAAAGAAAGGACAAAUACCACACGGAAGAGACGACACACCGGCUUCUCGGAAAUUAUCAUAUAAAAGGACUCGAUCCUUUGUCUUUUUCUUGGGCAGUCGAUUAGGGAGACGAAGACUUAGGUUGCUAGACUCGAUCAAGAGCGCGAUGCGCUUGUUUUCUUGGUUAGCGGUGAGCGAGCUAUCUUAAUCGAGCAGUGCGCGGCGAGGAAAUGGGGCCAACAUGUUUGUUGAUAAGGCAUUGCUGGAUUCCUCGCAGCUUCUUUUUCGCAGGUCACAGCUCGGACAGGUUGCUGAAAAUUAUUUGCACAUAGACUUGCUUUACCAAGUCAGCUUUUUGAAUCUCCCUUUCUUUUCCUUACAAAUUCGCACGAAGUCGCCUAGUGCUUGAUGUGGGUCAUCAUUAUGUCGAGCCCCUUUCAAUGAACUUUCCGCUGAACAUCGUUUGAAGCCUGAUUACUACACACGAGGGUCAGAUGUUGCGACGGCAGAUCUUGAUGGCUGCGAAUCAUGUCAUCAGAAAAUGACCGCCGUGAUUUUAAGAUUAAGCAUUGUUUCCUGAGCGAACCAGCCAUCCAUCGCGAAUUGCAUCGCAACGAACUUGAUUCGUCUUAGUGCAUGGAGUUUCGACGAGGUUGUACUGGUGUUGCGGAGAUGCGUGGGUUACUAGGAAGGAGAAUUUAAGAGAUGCAAAAUGGGGAUUGAUGAGUUCAUUUCGAAUUAGGCCUAUUACCCUAGUUUUUUGUUAUUUCUCUUUUUCAUUUGUUUUUUCGUUGGGUCAAAGUCUUUGUGCAGGUCAUCGACAUAAAUUUGGCAUCUCCUAUAGUAACCUUGUUAAUAAUAUAAAGUUAUUUCUGAAAGUACUGGUACAGCUACCAGUCAAACGACACUCGUUCAAGGAGAACCUGUUAUCAAAAGUUUGGACAGCUGGUAAAGAAUUUCUAAAUUCUACUGGUACAGAAAGAGUUCUGGCUUUUCUCCCUAGCAGACCUGCAUAAUCGUGGGACCGGUUCAUUUGGUCGCAAUUUAAACUUUCGAUUGCAUAACACCCAACAGAGUCCGCAAGAUUUGCAGCUCAAAUUUCAUUUGCAAGAUGCAACACAAACUUCAUCCAUUGGAUCAAUGGAAAGCAGUGACCCCGCUGGGGGCAAGAAAUAGCUUAACAAUGAGCAGGACUCGCCACUCGAAAGACUUGACAGCAUCUACUCCCAAAACCAGCUUUUCCUUUCCUUGCAGAUGGUCCCUCCUCCUCCUCCUCCUCUCACACCUUCUCUGAACUUGAUUAUCACCAAGUGCUUGAAAUCUCCCAUGACCAUUCAAAUUGUGAUUGCAAUUUGUCUCUGAAGCACGAAUUCAUACACCUAUUUCAGGUAUAAUCACAUUAGCUUUUGACUCUCCUAUUUGUCCCCUGUCAGAGUCUUACCAUUUCAAUACCCUUUUGUUGGCCAUUGCUAGGCACAAGUUUCUCCAUUUUCGGGAAGCAUCUUGGGAUUCCUCUUCUUCAUUUGCCUUUCCAAUUACAUGACAUAUUAAUGAUUGUUGACUUGUAGAUGUAGAAGCCACUUACUGAAUCUGUUUGACCUUGGUGGCAACUGCCAAUGUUAAAAGUUGCUCUGCUGUUGUGAAGAGAAUCUAUAGAUUAACGUGUUGGAAUGUAAGAUUAUAGAAAUCCCAGUGAGCAAUUUCUUGUUCAAGCACAAAGUACAAUGUUUGAUUUCUUCUCUAUUGGAACCUUGUGCGUCUUUUUCCUUCUAUACCUAGUUGAAUGCCAAUUGUUAUGCUUUCUUCAUGGCCUUCCCUGUAAUGUGCUUUCCGCUGUGAAUGGAUCUUGCAUCAUCACUUAUAAAUAGGAAUCUUAUUUAGAGGUACACUCUCAUGAGUUAUGUGAAUUUGAUAUGUCAAGCGAUUCGUCCUGAGGCUGAAUUCUAUAGUUUUCCAAUGAACUUUGUAGAAGACAUGUGCUCUAACUAUUAUGCUUGGAGCUGGAAUUCAGAGUAACUCAUUGAGAUGUGUCAAUAUCAGAUGAGAAUCCCUUAAUAUGGUUAUAGGUGAAGUGACUACAUGUCGGACCUAUUUAGUUAUUAGGCAGAACCAAAUUUUCAAUGAUUUAGGGAUCAGUAAUUUCAAUUCAUAGUAAAAUCUGUACCUUCUCUUCUAGGAGGAAAGUGCGAAGAACUACUUUACAUUAGGGGGAGAACUCUACCACGAUUGGGAAAUCUUUGAAGAUGACAACAUGGACAGUCAACGAUGGACGGCUCUGUCCUUCGCACUUUCCUCCUUCUAGAAGAGAAGGUACAGAUUUUGCCUCGGCUUUUGGCAAUAGCUGAGCUCGCUUUAUUCAGCCUGUUGAUGAAACCACAGCCCACUACAGAUUGGUUAUGUUGAAUUUCGCUCUCUUAUUCUUCCUUGUUCUUGUGAAUCGGAAACAAUAGAUUUGAAUGGGGGUUAGCAUAGGACUGGAAUGACACGAUUGGAGAGCUGACGAAUUAUCUUGCUUUGAUCACUGGCAAAACAUUGUUGCAAUUAGAGCCACAGCUUUAUUUUCGUUGGCACAAAUUUGGUGGACAACUAAUGAGUUCGAAUCGUAUACGAUGUGGUAUCUUACAGUAGUUAGACAUAAAUAUGAACUCACAACAAAAUUCAUAAUCACAACUGAGCGUUGAUAUUCUGUAUCUACAAAUUGCCCUUUCUCGAGUGUGGUAUUGCAUUUUGUGUCGCAAACAUUACGAAUUAUUUGGGAGGAUCGGCAGGUUUAUAAUUUUGAUAAACC
rnacentral:lncRNA from 1 species